CAAGUCGAACGAGAAGCUAACUUCUGAUUCCUUCGGGAUGAUGAGGUUAGCAGAAAGUGGCGAACGGGUGAGUAACGCGUGGGUAAUCUACCCUGUUAAGUGGGGGAUAACCCUCCGAAAGGAGGGCUAAUACCGCAUAAUAUCUUUAUCCCAAAAGAGGUAAAGAUUAAAGAUGGCCUCUAUACUAUGCUAUCACUUCAGGAUGAGCCUGCGUCCUAUUAGUUAGUUGGUGGGGUAAUGGCCUACCAAGACCACAAUGGGUAGCCGGUCUGAGGGGAUGUACGGCCACACUGGGACUGAGAUACGGCCCAGACUCCUACGGGAGGCAGCAGUGGGGAAUAUUGCGCAAUGGGGGAAACCCUGACGCAGCGACGCCGCGUGGAUGAUGAAGGCCCUUGGGUUGUAAAAUCCUGUUCUGGGGGAAGAAAGCUUAAAGGUCCAAUAAACCCUUAAGCCUGACGGUACCCCAAGAGAAAGCUCCGGCUAAUUAUGUGCCAGCAGCCGCGGUAAUACAUAAGGAGCAAGCGUUAUCCGGAAUUAUUGGGCGUAAAGAGC
rnacentral:rRNA from 2 species